CCUACGGGUGGCAGCAGUGGGGAAUAUUGCACAAUGGGCGCAAGCCUGAUGCAGCCAUGCCGCGUGUGUGAAGAAGGCCUUCGGGUUGUAAAGCACUUUCAGCGGGGAGGAAGGCGUUAAGGUUAAUAACCUUGUCGAUUGACGUUACCCGCAGAAGAAGCACCGGCUAACUCCGUGCCAGCAGCCGCGGUAAUACGGAGGGUGCAAGCGUUAAUCGGAAUUACUGGGCGUAAAGCGCACGCAGGCGGUCUGUCAAGUCGGAUGUGAAAUCCCCGGGCUCAACCUGGGAACUGCAUUCGAAGCUGGCAGGCUAGAGUCUUGUAGAGGGGGGUAGAAUUCCAGGUGUAGCGGUGAAAUGCGUAGAGAUCUGGAGGAAUACCGGUGGCGAAGGCGGCCCCCUGGACAAAGACUGACGCUCAGGUGCGAAAGCGUGGGGAGCAAACAGGAUUAGAUACCCUUGUAGUC
rnacentral:rRNA from 1 species